rnacentral:rRNA from 1 species
AUGCAAUCUACCUUUGCAGAGGAUAGCCCAGUAGAAAUUUGGAUUAUACCUCAUAGUUAAUGUGAGGAUGGCAUCAUUUCACAUUAAAGUCACAACGGCAAAAGAUGAGCAUGCGUCCCAUUAGCUAGUUGGUAAGGUAACGGCUUACCAAGGCUACGAUGGGUAGGGGCCCUGAGAGGGAGAUCCCCCACACUGGUACUGAGACACGGACCAGACUCCUACGGGAGGCAGCAGUGAGGAAUAUUGGACAAUGGGCGCAAGCCUGAUCCAGCCAUGCCGCGUGCAGGAUGACGGUCCUAUGGAUUGUAAACUGCUUUCGUACAGGAAGAAACACUACUUCGUGAAGUAGCUUGACGGUACUGUAAGAAUAAGGAUCGGCUAACUCCGUG